rnacentral:rRNA from 1 species
GACGAACGCUGGCGGCGUGCUUAACACAUGCAAGUCGAACGGAAAGGCCCUGCUUUUGUGGGGUGCUCGAGUGGCGAACGGGUGAGUAACACGUGAGUAACCUGCCCUUGACUUUGGGAUAACUUCAGGAAACUGGGGCUAAUACCGGAUAGGAGCUCCUGCUGCAUGGUGGGGGUUGGAAAGUUUCGGCGGUUGGGGAUGGACUCGCGGCUUAUCAGCUUGUUGGUGGGGUAGUGGCUUACCAAGGCUUUGACGGGUAGCCGGCCUGAGGGGGUGACCGGCCACAUUGGGACUGAGAUACGGCCCAGACUCCUACGGGAGGCAGCAGUGGGGAAGAUUGCACAAUGGGCGGAAGCCUGAUGCAGCAACGCCGCGUGCGGGAUGACGGCCUUCGGGUUGUAAACCGAUUUCGCCUGUGACGAAGCGUGAGUGACGGUAAUGGGUAAAGAAGCACCGGCUAACUACGUG